AGGAAUUUAGGUUAAAUAGACCAAGAGCCUUCAAAGCUCUAAGUAGAUAUAUUACUUAAUUCUAAUUCCUG
rnacentral:tRNA from 1 species